GAAGAAGAAGUAGAAGUUGGAUGAAAGUGAAAAUUGUUGAAGUACAAAUAGUAUGAAUGUGCUUCAUAAAUUAAAAUAGCAUUCAUGCUGACCAGGUCAUAACGAGGUCAUAACCAGAGUUAAGACCAGGUAAUAACCAGGUCCAAACCAGGUAAUAACCAGGUCAUAACCAGAGUAAUGACCAGGUAAUAACCAGGUCAUAACCAGGUCAUAACCAGAGUUAUGAGCAGAUAAUAACUAGGUAAUAACCCGGUCAUAACCAGAGUUAUGACCAGGUAAUAACCAGGUCAUGACCAGAGUUAUGACCAGGUAAUAACCAGGUCAUAAUCAGAGUUAUGACCAUGUAAUAACCAAGUCAUUACCAGGUCAUAACCAGAGUUAUGACCAGGAAAUAACCAGGUAAUAACCAGGUCAUAACCAGAGUUAUAACCAGAGUUAUGACCAGGUAAUAACCAGGUCAUAACCAGAGUUAUGACCAGGUCAUAACCA